rnacentral:rRNA from 1 species
UACGUAGGGUGCAAGCGUUGUCCGGAAUUAUUGGGCGUAAAGAGCUCGUAGGCGGUUUGUCGCGUCUGCUGUGAAAGCCCGGAGCUCAACUCCGGAACUGCCAUUGAAACUGUUAGACUUGAGGAUGAGAGAGGUGAGUGGAAUUCCCAGUGUAGAGGUGAAAUUCGUAGAUAUUGGGAAGAACACCGGUGGCGAAGGCGGCUCACUGGCUCAUUACUGACGCUCAGGCGCGAUAGCGUGGGGAUCAAACAGG